CAUUGCUCCAUCCGUGAUUAAUCCUCAAUUCAAAACAAGUUCUUCGUUUGUGAAUUCUCAUCAGGACUGACGAUGGGGGUGAUCAGAUAUGUAACAUAUCUGGUCAGAAGAAUAAACGGACAGUGAUAUUCUUGAUACUGACAUUUAGAGGAAUUCAACCGGCCAAGAAUUUGCUUUGAUAGCCAUGCUUAGAUUGCAUCAGCAGCAGCGGCUUCUCAGCAGUAGUUAUCCAAGAACAACUGGAUCAAUGAUUUCUUUUUGCACUAAAAUAUAAAAUAGGGAAG